AGAGUACUCCCUCCGUUCAAAAUUACUUGUCUCGAAUAUGGAUGUAUCUAGAACUAAAAUAUGUCUAAAUACAUCCAUUUCCGCGACAAGUAAUUCCGAACGGAGGGAGUAUUUG
rnacentral:pre_miRNA from 1 species